rnacentral:rRNA from 1 species
AAGCAUAUCAGUAAGCAGAGGAACCCCAUCAAACUUGGAUUUUGUAAGUAGUUGCGAAUGAACACAAACUUGAUCACUUUGGCAAUCUUUGCACAUCAUUGUGCAACAAUUUGUAUAUGUAGGCACAGUGCUAUCAAAGCUGCAUGCAAGUGAUUUUUGAAAGGAUACAACAUGGGAUGUGAUAUUCAUGUGUGUGUGCCUGCUUUGUCCACAGCCUGUGCUGUAUGAAUCACAUUUCUUGCAACUGAAAUGCUAAUUGCAUGGUAAAGUUCAUGUGACAUGACACAAGCUUGAGAUUCAUGAUGUGCAAGUACCAUGAGGGAAAUGUGAAAAGGACUUUGAAAAGAGAAUUAAAGAAAGCCUGCAUUUGCUGACAAUAAAAGCAAGUGUGGAUGUUUAUGUAAUUGUUACUGCAUCAAUCAAUGCUCAUCAUGAUUACUGCAUGCUUUAUAUUACAGCUCAGAACACGAAGUGUGUGUAACAGCUCUGCUUUGAUUUUUCCCACGUGGGAUCAGUUGAAACUUUGUGAGAGCACUCUUCAGUUCCCUCACGUACCCACCAGCUUUGUCCACUCGUGUGUUGGCACACAUGUAAUGAUGAUGUGUUUAUGCAAGAUACUUCUGUGCUCACCAACAUGUUGUGCAAAUCUUCACUUGACCC